AAUUAAGGCAGCAUUUUGCCCUUCAGACCUCAAAAGUCCUGUUCCAGUAAGCAGGUGGGGAUGUUAGGGGUUUAAUUAUUUAGGAAUACCUUGGCCUGUAUACAUUCUAAUACAUUUACUCAUGUUUGGUAUAGGACUCUCCUCCCCCCUAUACCUUACUCAGUGGGAGUCACAGAGUCUGUGUCAAGUUACGACUAUAUUUCUGACUUAAACACACACGCAAAGUGGGUUUCACGUACGUUUUGCCUAUUUAUCCCCACAACGUCCCUCCACCCCUGCCUCAAUUUUAGGUUAACUGGCUGGAUAGGGUCUUGAGGGCCACUAGUAGUAGCAUUUUCUGGCUUCUUCACCUCAUUGUACAGUGGUCCCACAAAGCCAACAACCAUCCUCCACGCUUGAGGUAAAAAUUCACCCCUCGGGCCAAAUCAUAGAUAGCCGCCUUACACGGUUACUGUCACG